ACGGAGGAUCCAAGCGUUAUCCGGAUUUAUUGGGCGUAAAGGGCGCGUAGGCGGACAUGCAAGUCGGAUGUGAAAUUCCGGGGCUCAACCUCGGAGCUGCAUUUGAAACUACAUUGUCUAGAGGGUAGGCGGAGAAAACAGAAUUCCACAAGUAGCGGUGAAAUGCGUAGAUAUGUGGAAGAAUACCGGUGGCGAAGGCGGUUUUCUAGCUUAUUCCUGACGCUGAAGCGCGAAAGCAAGGGGAUCAAACAGGA
rnacentral:rRNA from 1 species